CCUACGGGGGGCAGCAGUGAGGAAUUUUGGUCAAUGGGCGCAAGCCUGACCCAGCCAAGUCGCGUGAGGGAUGACGGUCCUCUGGAUUGUAAGCCUCUUUUGUCGGGGAGCAAGGCCCGCCACGUGUGGCGGGCAGGCGAGUACCUGAAGAAAACGCAUCGGCUAACUCCGUGCCAGCAGCCGCGGUAAUACGGAGGAUGCGAGCGUUAUCCGGAUUUAUUGGGUUUAAAGGGUGCGUAGGCGGAAGGUUAAGUCAGCUGUCAAAUGUCGGUGCUCAACACCGGCCUGCCGUUGAAACUGGUCUUCUUGAGUGAGCGAGAAGUAUGCGGAAUGCGCGGUGUAGCGGUGAAAUGCAUAGAUAUCACGCAGAACUCCGAUUGCGAAGGCAGCAUACCGGCGCUCAACUGACGCUGAGGCACGAAAGCGUGGGGAUCGAACAGGAUUAGAUACCCUGGUAGUC
rnacentral:rRNA from 1 species